ensembl:lncRNA
GUUGAAGAGAAAUAGGGGGCGAGAGACCGAAGAGAGAGAAUUUACUUCAGGUAGGUGAGAAAAAAUAGAGAGGGUAAAAGAGAAGGUGAGAGACAGCGCAAGAGAGAAUACACUUUAGAGAGGAGGGAGAGACAGCGAGAGAGAGAGAGAGAGAGGGGGGGGGGGGGGGGGGGGGGGGGUAAGAAAAGUGACAGCUCCCCGUCAUUGAGCUGCUGUCUGUCUGAUUCAGGAGGAAACUCUCCUCUGGGGGCCACUGCGAAACGAAAUCUGACAUUGGAAUUGUACGGAGAAAACAGAUGAGCAGUAUACAAAAAAGCAGAAUGGCUUGGAGCGGAUGCCUAGAAGAAAGGCUUGCAGUGAUCUUAAACUUUCCUCAAUCCAUUGGGAGUUGCUGCGAUGAAAGAGAUGCAACUGAAAAACUAAAUUGGAGAAGGAAGAAAAAGGGGAUAAAUAUUUUAGUAUAUACAAAAAUAAAUAUUUAUAAAAUCAUGUUUGAAUGUUAG